AUUGAACGCUAGCGGGAUGCCUUACACAUGCAAGUCGAACGGAGUGGCGAACGGGUGAGUAAUGUAUCGGAACGUGCCCAGUAGCGGGGGAUAACUACUCGAAAGCGUAGCUAAUACCGCAUACUAUUGGAGCGGCCGAUAGCGGAUUAGAUAGUUGGUGGGGUAAGGGAUAACCAAGGCGACAAUCCGUAGCUGGUUUGAGAGGACGACCAGCCACCCUGGGACGCAAGCACGGCCCCGACUCCUACGGGAGGCAGCAGUGGGGAAUUUUGGACAAUGGGGGAAACCCUGAUCCAGCCAUCCCGAGUGUGCGAUGAAGGCCUUCGGGUUUUAAAGCACUUUUGUCAGGAAAGCGGUACCUGCAGAAUAAGCACCGGCUAACUACGUGCCAGCAGCCGCGGUAAUUC
rnacentral:rRNA from 1 species